CUCGCCGCCGCCCCGCCCCGCGCCGAGCCCGCCGUCCGCAGCCCGCAGCGGCCCCUGCAUUGCGGAGCGGUACCUGAGCGGGGCGGCUCCGCCGCCUGACAUGGCGGUGCCGCGAGGUGUUUGCUGACAGCCGGCCCCUGCCCCGCACCGCCGUGCCCCGCCAUGGAGGCAGAGCGGUGAGAUAGUUGGAAAAACGUACCUCAGGAACUGCACUGCUGCCUUCCAGCUGUGCUGGCGUGGGGCCGAGCUCUUGGCCCUUUCCUGGGCUUCGGCAAUUAAAGAGACGAAUAGAAGAAAAGUUGCUGCUUGAUCUGGGGAACUACGAGACGUUGUCUACUCAGCGAGAUCAACAAGUUCUAAACCCCUCCAAAUAAGUGAAAAAUAAUUAGCUUUCUUCCUUUUUCUGAUGAGAAGAUAAACAGCACUCUCCAAAUUUUCUUAGGAAAUGAAAAGAGUACAGAGCAGAAAAUAGAUUAAAUGUUGUCAUAUUGUCAUUAAUUAACAUUAAAUUGACCUAUCCAGCUAAAAAACAUAUAUAAAUGGUAAAUCAAUUAUUUUUGGAUCUCAAAAGUUACAGUUGAGCAACACAACAACAGUAUUUUAGAGUCAGAGGGCUUGGAACCUAUCAUACGCUCAGAAUAUGACAAACACAAUUCAAAAAUUACUUUUCUUCGUAACACUCAACAAACCAGCCCAAUUUCACUUGAUCCUUAGUACAGACAGGAAAAACAAUCAAAUGCUAAAUUUUAGUACCAUAGGAAAGGUCUGAGCUGGUUUUCUCUGUUCACCGCAAAAACACCCGUGGAAGAAAAGCAUAGCAAUAUUAAAGAUCCAUUAAAGGAGAUGUUUUACCCAGAAUGGCUCAAUAUUUGCAUACAUAUUAACAUGUUUGCCAACCGACUGAGUCAACUACUUAUGCCAACUUUUAAAAAUGAAAAAAAACCUGAUACAAUUUGUUAUUAAUAAAUAUCAGCUUCCUUAGCAUUACAAGCAGGUCCAAAUAAAAUGACUUAUUUAAUGCAACUAC